rnacentral:sRNA from 1 species
AGUGCUGGGUCUGAGCUGUCUGCAGAACUAGAACUCCUGUCUCCUUUCCUCCCCGUCUCACACUAGUCAGAAAUAUGCUCUGAUGAUGUGCCUCUCUGUGUGUUGCAGGCCUUUCUCUAUAGAACCAGCUGUUGGAACUCUUAAUGUGGGAGAGUCCAUGCAACUGGAAGUGGAGUUUGAGCCACAGAGUGUGGGCGAUCACAGUGGAAGACUUAUCGUGUGUUAUGACACAGGUGAAAAGGUGUUUGUAUCUCUCUAUGGAGCUGCCAUAGACAUGAAUAUAAGGCUGGAUAAGAAUUCCUUGACCAUCGAGAAAACCUACAUAUCUCUGGCCAAUCAGCGAACUAUAACCAUUCACAAUCGCAGUAAUAUCAUUGCCCAUUUCCUGUGGAAGGUAUUUGCUACCCAGCAAGAAGAGGACAGAGAAAAAUAUAG